GCUGAGCGUGGUGGCGGGUGCCUGUAGUCCCAACUACUCGGGAGGCUGAGGUGGGAGGAUCGCUUGAGCCCAGGAGUUCUGGGCUCCAGUGUGCUAUGCUGAUCGGGUGUCUGCACUAAGUUCGGCAUCAAUAUGGUGACCUCCCGGGAGCAGGGGACCACCAGGUUGCCUAAGGAGGGGUGAACCGGCCCAGGUCGGAAACAGAGCAGGUCAAAACUCCCAUGCUGAUCAGUAGAGGGAUAGUGCCUGUGAAUAGCCACUGCAUUCCAGCCUGGGCAACAUAGCUAGACCCUGUCUCU
rnacentral:SRP_RNA from 1 species